CCAUGCCCGCGUCUUAGGGGAGUAGCCGCCCACCCCGGUUGAGGGAGAUGGGGCUUGCGUCAACAUACUUGGUUUAGCCUGGUGAAAAUUCCGGAUUCAAACCAUGGUGCAAGCAGCUCCACGCCUGGCAAGACCUUUGACCACACCGCCUUCCGUACGGCCGGAGAGGCUGUGUGGUCAUUUGUCCUGAUCCGGCCGGG
rnacentral:sRNA from 2 species